GAUGAACGCUGGCGGCGUGCCUAAUACAUGCAAGUCGAGCGAACAGACGAGGAGCUUGCUCCUCUGACGUUAGCGGCGGACGGGUGAGUAACACGUGGAUAACCUACCUAUAUGACUGGGAUAACUUCGGGAAACCGGAGCUAAUACCGGAUAAUAUAUUGAACCGCAUGGUUCAAUAGUGAAAGACGGUUUUGCUGUCACUUAUAGAUGGAUCCGCGCCGCAUUAGCUAGUUGGUAAGGUAACGGCUUACCAAGGCAACGAUGCGUAGCCGACCUGAGAGGGGGAUAGGCCACACUGGAACUGAGACACGGUCCAGACGCCUACGGGAGGCAGCAGUAGGGAAUCUUCCGCAAUGGGCGAAAGCCUGACGGAGCAACGCCGCGUGAGUGAUGAAGGUCUUCGGAUCGUAAAACUCUGUUAUUAGGGAAGAACAAAUGUGUAAGUAACUAUGCACGGCUUGACGGUACCUAAUCAGAAAGCCACGGCUAACUACGUG
rnacentral:rRNA from 1 species